AGAAUAUUUUUAGAAUGAACACUUACCACAAAGCUUUUUUCUUUCAAAUUUACAUUCGUUUUUUUAAAAUAAGAUUUUUUUAAGUACAGAUACUCGACUCAGGCAGCAUACAUUUUUUAUCCUUGUGGGCAUUUAUAAAUAUAUGAUUUAGUCAUUCUUAUGGUCACUAAAUUCAUUUCCCUAAAAUGACAGGUGUGGGGUGUGCAUGUGUGUGUGUAUGCUUAUGAACGUGUGAGAACACAGCCUAAGGAUUAUAAUCAUUUAGUCAAGGUCAUAAGUGACCUGACGUGCCCUGGAGCAUGCUGUUUAUAAUUGCUGUGGUUAGUUUUCCUUCUCAUUGUUUUUACCUAUAAUGUCAAAACACAAUUAUAUGGAGUUGGUAUGUUCACUAAUAGCAGUUUAUCUCUGCAUGGUUUAUAGACAGAGUCAAAAGCCAACAACUAUAAUUACAUCCAUGUUUCUAACUUAGCAGCAAGCUAGAAAAGUGUGGUUGAAGUAUGCUGUGGAUAUAGUGCAGCCAGUAGGAAUUAUAGGGUAAAGUCAUUUCUCUGCAUUCUUUUGGUUUUACAAUAAUUGUUACUUAAAUUUUGUUUUCUGGAUUUUACCACUGUCUGUUGUGUUUAUAUGACCACAUAAAGAGUGGUUGAGUUACGUGUCUCUCCACUCUAUUUUCCUACUCCUUGCCUUCCUCUAUAAAUGUACUAGUUCUCCUUUCACUUUCUUCUGACUCAGCAGACAGUACAUUACAGUUAAUAGUUUUCUGAAGCAGCCUGAUAUUCAUGCUCUAUGGAACCCAUAAGACUUCUAUUAUUUGUAUUAUAUGUUUAAUUGGAUGAUUAUGGGAACCAUGUUGAACUGUUAACAACUGUCAAGCCUUUGAUUCAUCUUUUGAAUGUUCAUUGGCAUGGUUCAAGUUAGCAACCACAAUACAGAUUUGGCAUUUUUAUUUGUUGCUGCUCUCACAAUCAUUUGAGAGGGUACAAAUGAUUUUCCUAGAAAAAUAUAGUUUCUCAUUUUUGUUCACCAUGCAUACUGUGGCAUAAAGAGCUACGUAACUUAUGCAUUGCCAUAAUUUCUUUUGAAUAUGAGUAUUGCAGUUUAAUGAAUCUCCAGAAAAUUAGGAGAAAGUCUUAUAUUUAAAUGAUCACCACUAUAUGACAUAUAAAAGAAUCCGAGUCUUCCUCCAAGGAAACCAGUUAUCAGUUGGGUCUAUAUUCUUUCCCAGGCCUUCUUCUAUACCUGAGGAUUUUUUUUUUUCUGAUUUUGCUACUCAUCAAGUAGUAAAUUUCAUCAUUUACAAAAGAGAUGUGCACCCUCCUAGGAGCCACAGACACCUCCUGUGCACCCACACUGAGCUGUCUCCUGAGUCCCACCUUGCCUAAUGUUGUCUUCUGUAGAAAUGGAAUUCUCUGGGAGCUAUUGGCUACAGGAGUUGACUACAACUAGUCAAUGAGUUGCCUCAUUCUUUUAAGGUAUAUUAUUAAUUGAAUACUGACCACAGGAGCACUAAUCUUGUAGAAAAUGCUGUCUCUUAUCUAGUUUUAAAAUAAGUAAAAUGUGAGUGCAGGGUUAGGGAAGAUUGAAGUAUUUAAAAAAUGAUUAGGAUAGGUCCUACUUGGUAAAGCAACAUUUAAGUAAAGGCUUGACGGGGGUGGUGAAUAGAUACUCUUUUAAACACUUGUGUUUGUGUGUGUGUGUAUUUUCAUCUAUUCCUUACAUCACCCCUACAAGGCAAGCUCUGUUAGUAUCUCCUUUUUACAUGUGAGGGAACCAAAGAACAGAAGGAUUAUGCCCAAGGUCAUACAACUAGCAAGUGGUGGAAUCAGCCUUUGGACAUAGGCAUUUUGUUAAACUAUUAUUUUAGAUCAGCCCCUAAGCUGGCUUACUGAGGCUAAUCCAGGAUAGGAAUAACCUCCUUAGCAGACUUUGUACUAAACUAGAUAUCCAGGACUCAUAUUAAUUCCUCUUCCUGGGAAAUAAAAUCCUGGCUUCUACCUGUCAUUUCCAAAGUGUGUCGUUUUGAAGUACCAUCUUGGGUCAAGUGUUGGAAUGGGCACUUAAGCUGCUUGCAAAGCAGUCCUGCCACUUAUGUUGUAAGUGUAUUUUGGUGCUUUAAUCAAAUGCACAGAAGGUGUGAGGGAAGGAAAAUUGUUUCAGAUGAGAAAUAAGCAAAAGGCAUCUAAACAUCAUUCUUACCUUCUGAGUUCGUGUCAUUAUUACUAGACCGUUGUUUACAUUUGGAAAGUUCAUGGUAAUUGUACCUUUCCUUGAGGUUUGAGAUGGCCUCUUCAACCAGUUUGUAAUAAGAUAAGGAACCAGAGAUGAAGGGUGUGAAAGGAGUGUGUAGAAGGAGCAAAUUCAGACUAGCAGCAGUACAUGUUGUGGCCCAUAAAUAUCCAUGUGCUUUAGGUGCUUUGAGUUGUAGAUAAGCAGCGUUCUUCAAACUAGAUUUAUACAGGUAUUUUAUUCUCUGAAGUAAAUUAUGUCAAUUUCUGUUGCC